GUCCAGGGAUGGGAAUCGAACCCACAGUGUUCAGAACCGGGCAGAUGCCAUGUCCACUAGGCUACCCUGGA
rnacentral:tRNA from 1 species